rnacentral:tRNA from 1 species
AGAAACUUAGGAUAACCCAUUAAACCAGGAGCCUUCAAAGCCCCAAACAAGAGAUAAGCCUCUUAGUUUCUG